AUCUGCACAUCUAGUGGAUAGUGACCUGUUUCUGAUGGCUGGUAGAAUGAUCGGUCACUGCUUUCUUCAUGGAGGGCCACCCUUGUCAGGACUUAGCCCUGCUGUUGUCCAUGUCAUUUCUGGUGGCAGUGCUGAAACAGCUGUUGUACAGAUUUCAGACUGUCCAGAUUUUGAUUUGCGUCAGAAUAUUAUGCUGCUUGAAGGACAAUCUGAACUAACACCUGACGAGAAGGAGAGCAUUAAUGAUUUGUGCUUUUCGUGGGACCUUCCUCCAGUGAACAAUGCUAAUCGACGAUGGCUUUAUGAGAGGCUUCUACAUCAUGCGGUUAUCGGACGAACUAUGAGGCAAAUCAAGCAACUUCGAAAAGGACUUAAGGAGACCAUGCUGUGGCCACUACUUUGUCAGCGUCCGGAUGUGCUUUCAGUCAUUUUCCCAUGAGAGAAAAAUGAUGUGUUGACCCCAG